AGAGUUUGAUCAUGGCUCAGAUUGAACGCUGGCGGCAGGCUUAACACAUGCAAGUCGAGCGGAAACGAUUCUAGCUUGCUAGAAGGCGUCGAGCGGCGGACGGGUGAGUAAUGCAUGGGAAUCUGCCCGAUAGUGGGGGACAACCUGGGGAAACUCAGGCUAAUACCGCAUACGUCCUACGGGAGAAAGCAGGGGAUCUUCGGACCUUGCGCUAUCGGAUGAGCCCAUGUCGGAUUAGCUUGUUGGUGAGGUAAUGGCUCACCAAGGCGACGAUCCGUAGCUGGUCUGAGAGGAUGAUCAGCCACACUGGGACUGAGACACGGCCCAGACUCCUACGGGAGGCAGCAGUGGGGAAUUUUGGACAAUGGGCGCAAGCCUGAUCCAGCCAUGCCGCGUGCGGGAAGAAGGCCUUCGGGUUGUAAACCGCUUUUGUCAGGGAAGAAAAGACUCCGGAUAAUACCUGGGGUUCAUGACGGUACCUGAAGAAUAAGCACCGGCUAACU
rnacentral:rRNA from 1 species